CCGAGUUCUACCGGCGGCCGGCGGCGGCGCCUCCUUCAAAUGUCUAAGGCCAUUUUAGGCAGAUUCCUCAACCUCCAAACCUAAAUCGCCAUUUUUUUUUGUUGCUGUGGGAACUUUCGUAAGCUCCAGCUGGUGACAGUUCAGGCUUGACUUAGUAAAUUUACUUGCAGAAGCAGUACUGUGGGAGCACAGAAGUAGAAAUCUAGUGACUUCCUCCAGCUCAACAUGCCGAAAGAUAGAAUGGUGAACUCUUCGUCCUUCAACGGGGCAAGGGCAUCUCCUUAUGAUUGCAGCUCAAAGACUACUGACCUACCACCAGUAGAGAGUGAAAGAGAAUGGGAAGAAGCUAGGUGCGCUAUAUGUAUGGAGCAUCCACACAAUGCUGUCCUUCUACUUUGCUCAUCCGGGGAAAAGGGUUGCCUGCCUUAUAUGUGUGACACAAGUUACCGUCAUUCAAAUUGUCUUGAUCAAUUUUGUAAACUAUCAUCCGGAACACAAUCAGAAGUUCCACAAGAGCGAAGUACUGUAUCGGGAACGAUGCUCCACAGGGGAAAUCAGGUACAACCUUCAUCAAGAACAACCUGGUUUGCUGGGGGGCAGCAACCAGAGCUUGUCUGCCCUCUUUGCCGGGGACAGAUUAAAGGAUGGAUUGUCGUAGAGGCAGCUCGUAAAUUCAUGAAUUCCAAACACAGGAGUUGUUCGUUGGAGACAUGCAAUUUUAAUGGCAAUUAUGGAGAACUAAGAAAGCAUGCCAGGCUUGAGCAUCCCUCAGACAGGCCAGCCGAGGCUGACCCUCAAAGGCUGUCUGAUUGGAGAAGGUUGGAGAUUCAAAGAGACGCUGGGGAUACUCUCAGUGCAUAUCAGACACCAUUAGGUGAUCUCGUUCCUCCAGAUGAGUUCUUUGAGAUGCCUGCUGGUAUGUUUGACUUCCUUGAUGAUGUGUACUCUGAGCCUGAGGAUGGAUUUAGUCCAGACAUCAAUCUGUUGUUGGAUUUGGAAUUUGAGUUCUCCUUUCUGAAUGACCUCCCAUAUGUGACUUGGUCAUAUGAAGAGAUGAUGAUGCUGUUAGACUGAGUGCUAGUUGAUCACAACUAGUGCUAGAUCCGAAAGCAGGUGAGCUAGUAGAUAAGCUCCAUCAGAUAAUCACGGGGAAAGACCAGGAACGUGGAGGAGACACAACAGGUCAUCAAGGUACAUGCCAAGAUCCUUCGGGCAUUAAACCAUUGAAUUAAUGCUUGGUUCCUUUCAGGUUGAAGUUCUUUGGUUUUCAGGUAUCUUGUCAUCACUGAAUGGAGGAAUUUUAUGUCAGAAUUCCUGUUAUUUGUACUCUCAAAUGAACCAUCGCUGUUGUCGUUCUUUUCCAUUCCUACUUCGAUACUUCAAGAACAAGUGUUUCCCCCCUCAUGAAAUUAUAGUUCCUUGUUUACUAUCUCUGAACAUAUGAAACAUAAAAGCUUGUU
rnacentral:misc_RNA from 1 species